rnacentral:rRNA from 1 species
UGCUGCAUGGCUGUCGUCAGCUCGUGCUGUGAAGUGUUGGGUUAAGUCCCGCAACGAGCGCAACCCCUGCUAUCUGUUGCCAGCAAGUAAUGUUGGGGACUCAGAUGGAACUGCCGGUGACAAACCGGAGGAAGUGGGGACGACGUCAAGUCAUCAUGGCCCUUAUGUCCUGGGCUACACACGUGCUACAAUGGCCGGUACAGAGCGCAGCGAAGCCGCGAGGCAAAGCGAAUCGCAAAAAGCCGGUCUCAGUACGGAUUGGAGUCUGAAACCCGACUCCAUGAAGUUGGAAUCGCUAGUAAUCGCGCAUCAGCAUGGCGCGGUGAAUACGUUCCCGGGCCUU